UACAGAGGGGGCAAGCGUUAUUCGGAAUUAUUGGGCGUAAAGGGCGCGUAGGCGGCUUGGCAAGUGGAAGGUGAAAUCCCUCGGCUUAACCGAGGAACUGCCCUCCAAACUGCUUCGCUUGAGACCGGGAAAGGUGAGUGGAAUUCCCAGUGUAGCGGUGAAAUGCGUAGAUAUUGGGAGGAACACCAGUGGCGAAGGCGGCUCACUGGACCGGUACUGACGCUGAUGCGCGAAAGCGUGGGGAGCAAACGGG
rnacentral:rRNA from 1 species